GUUUUAUUUAAAAAUACUCUAAAGGCAACAGACCCCAUCUGAUCUUGGAAGCUAAGCAGGGUCACCCCAGGUUAAUACUUAGAUGGGAGUUCAGAAAUGAAGACCAGGUGCUGUAGGCU
rnacentral:rRNA from 1 species